UACGUAGGCAGCGAGCGUUGUUCGGAAUUACUGGGCGUAAAGAGUGUGUAGGCGGUGCUCCCAGUCUGUUGUGAAAUCUCCCGGCUUAACUGGGAGGGUGCAGCGGAAACUAGAGUGCUAGAGGGUGGGAGAGGUAAGCGGAAUUCCUGGUGUAGCGGUGAAAUGCGUGGAUAUCAGGAGGAACACCUGUGGUGUAGACAGCUUACUGGACCACUUCUGACGCUGAGACACGAAAGCGUGGGUAGCAAACAGG
rnacentral:rRNA from 1 species